UUGCAACUGCCCUCUUCUGGUCCAUGUUUGUUACGGCUCAAACUGAGCUUUCGCUCGCCGUCCACCACUGUUGUUUGCCGCCUUCGCAGACCCGCCGCUGACACCCAUCCCUCUGAAUCCGGCAGGGUGUCUGCUGUGCUCCUGAUCCAGUGAGGCGCCCAUUGCCACUCCCGAUUGGGCUAAAGGCUUGCCAUUGUUCCUGCAUGGCUAAGUGCCUGGGUUCGUCCUAAUCGAGCUGAACACUAGUCACUGGGUUCCAUGGUUCUCUUCCGUGACCCACGACUUCUAAUAGAGCUAUAACACUCACCGCAUGGCCCAAGAUUCCAUUCCUUGGAAUCUGUGAGGCCAAGAACCCCAGGUCAGAGAACACGGGGCUUGCCACCAUCUUGGAAGUGGCCCGCCGCCAUUUUGGAAGUGGCCCACCACCAUCUUGGGAGCUCUGUGAGCAAGGACCCCCCGGUAACAUUUUGGCGACCACGAAGGGACCUCCAAAGCGCCUCCAUCAGAGAGCUCCAUCCAGACCUAGACUUGGACAAUAGGCAGUUGUUUGCUUGCCUCUGGCUCUGCUCACUCUCCAUGGGGGUCUAUAGCUGGUGAUCAUCUUGUAUACCUAAUUCUGGCUUCAUCUUCAGACUCGGACAGGAUUUGAGGUACUGAUAUUUUGGUCUGGAGAGCAUUAUUUUGACCUCAUCAAAAAGAGUGAACUGCUUAGUUUGUUAGCUGGCAUAGACUAUAAUUCUGAGCCAGAGGUCACAGGUUGGGAGGGGAAAAUGUAUCUUUUGUUUUAUUUUUAACCAUCAGAUUUGCUCUGUUUCUGGCAAUAUGACAUGCAUUGAAUACAAAUUGUUUUAUUCAACUUAGACCACGGGGCUUAUAUUUCAUUGUCUGUUCUCUCAUUAUUUGCAAUAGAGUAUAUGUCAGUUUUAGUUUUCAGUAUUGAUAAGGAAUUUUUGCUUUUGCAUCAUAGAUAUGUUUUGUCACUGGUGAAGAGAUGCCAUUGUAAACCAGAAACCACAGCAACUGUUUUUUUUUUCAAGGAUGAUCAUGUUAAUAAUGGCCAUUUAUUAAGCAUGUGUUAUAUUCUAGGCAUGGUGCCUUACUUGUAAACAUCAAUAUUAAUUUGAUGUUUUCCUUUCAUUUAAUGGACCUGUGGACAUAUUUUUGCCUGAUUCUUAUCUAAGCAAUUGAAUUACCUCAUUUUAUGCACACUGAAUUGAUAUGUUAUCACCCUGUUCUUUUGUCCCAUACUGGAAAGACAAGAGCUUACUCAUAGCAAGUUUAUCAGACCGAUGGUGUGCCCUUUUGGAUUAAUCUCAACAGUGAUUUCAUUUCAUGCCACUAUUUUUAUUUAUGUUGUAUUUUUGUUGAUGUCAUUUUUAGCCUAUUAAAUCUGCUGUAAAUACUUUUUUAUAGUAUAUGAGUAGUAUAAAGUAUCUAAGUAGUAACAAGGUGAAAUAUUAAUAAACAAGUUCAGGUUCUUACAUCUUCCUCCAAAAAAGAAUAUUGAAUCUGAAAGACAUGAGACUGCAUUUUAUAUUUGGCUACAAUAAACCUUGUGAUCUAUAAAGCUCUGAAGACUGCAUGGCUUAAACUUUUGCUUUUAGCUGAUUUUUACAUAUUUCCUUAGGUGCUAAGUGUCCCAGAUGUCAGAGAUGACACCAGGCAUUGUAAACUCUUUGUCCCCAGAAAGCUUCCCUUCCCCUUUCCCUCUUUCUCCUCACUGGGGACAUCAAUGGCAAGCGGCAAGUACAUGAAAUGGUAUUGGGCCAGGCAGCCAUGCCCAGCUUGAGCUCUGGCCCUUGCUAGCACCUCAAGCUUGGGCUAGUCCCUGAGCUUUGCUGAGCCUCUGUGUAGGAAGUGAUCACACAUGGAUGCCAGAGAGGUCAUCAGGUUUUAUGAAUUUGAAUACAUAAAAUUACUAUGUCACAUUCCUGAAACAUCCUAGGUCCCUAAUAAUAGACAGACAUUGCUACUAUGUGUGUGUGCUUUGUCCUCUUUGAUGCCUCCCUAGGGGUUAGCAUAGGGUUCUCUUGGGGCAUUCAUUGCAGUUUUCCAUUUACACCUGUGCUUCCUAUGCUCUGAAUCCUAUAUUCUGACCUCCUCUCCUCUUUUCCCACAUUUUGUUAGGGU
rnacentral:lncRNA from 1 species